GGUGAGCUUUGCAAUGUGGUAGCAUUGCACACUGCAAAACCUGUGCAACUGUACCUGACAUCCCCAGGAUGGGGGCCCAACCAGGAUUCCCAGAGACCUGAGGAUGCAUGGAAUAACACAUGAGGAGGGGAAACUCUGGGCCCGUAGUCAAAAUGUGUUCACCACGGCAGACAACUGCUUGGGUGGCAGCUUUGGGAUGAAUUCUCCUUGGCGAGUGAUCGUCCCACCUGUAGGUGCCUUCCUGAUCGUCUGUGUGCAGGGCACCAAGCAGACCAUCUAAAGCCACUAAUCCUGAAGAGAGCUGACCCAGGGGCAGGACUUGCCAAAAGAAAAGGGGCACAAUAGAAAAGAAUGGCUGCUGAUAAGUUCCUUCCAACAAUGGCCUCUUUUGAAAAGUCGUCCUCAUCCACAGAUGGUCAACAUUAUGAUGGAAUUUUGUUUUCCUCUCAUGUGAAUUUGGAGCUGAUAGAUGCUUCUCAGCUCCUUGCUGGGACCUCACUGACAAACCCGCUGGCCCCAGAACUACUUGUGACAUCAAGAUGACGCUU